rnacentral:rRNA from 1 species
AUAAUGGGUCAGCGACUUAUAUUCUGUAGCAAGGUUAACCGAAUAGGGGAGCCGAAGGGAAACCGAGUCUUAACUGGGCGUUAAGUUGCAGGGUAUAGACCCGAAACCCGGUGAUCUAGCCAUGGGCAGGUUGAAGGUUGGGUAACACUAACUGGAGGACCGAACCGACUAAUGUUGAAAAAUUAGCGGAUGACUUGUGGCUGGGGGUGAAAGGCCAAUCAAACCGGGAGAUAGCUGGUUCUCCCCGAAAGCUAUUUAGGUAGCGCCUCGUGAAUUCAUCUCCGGGGGUAGAGCACUGUUUCGGCAAGGGGGUCAUCCCGACUUACCAACCCGAUGCAAACUGCGAAUACCGGAGAAUGUUAUCACGGGAGACACACGGCGGGUGCUAACGUCCGUCGUGAAGAGGGAAACAACCCAGACCGCCAGCUAAGGUCCCAAAGUCAUGGUUAAGUGGGAAACGAUGUGGGAAGGCCCAGACAGCCAGGAUGUUGGCUUAGAAGCAGCCAUCAUUUAAAGAAAGCGUAAUAGCUCACUGGUCGAGUCGGCCUGCGCGGAAGAUGUAACGGGGCUAAACCAUGCACCGAAGCUGCGGCAGCGACGCUGAUGCGUUGUUGGGUAGGGGAGCGUUCUGUAAGCCUGUGAAGGUGUGCUGUGAGGCAUGCUGGAGGUAUCAGAAGUGCGAAUGCUGACAUAAGUAACGAUAAAGCGGGUGAAAAGCCCGCUCGCCGGAAGACCAAGGGUUCCUGUCCAACGUUAAUCGGGGCAGGGUGAGUCGACCCCUAAGGCGAGGCCGAAAGGCGUAGUCGAUGGGAAACAGGUUAAUAUUCCUGUACUUGGUGUUACUGCGAAGGGGGGACGGAGAAGGCUAUGUUGGCCGGGCGACGGUUGUCCCGGUUUAAGCGUGUAGGCUGGUUUUCCAGGCAAAUCCGGAAAACUAAGGCUGAGGCGUGAUGACGAGGCACUACGGUGCUGAAGCAACAAAUGCCCUGCUUCCAGGAAAAGCCUCUAAGCAUCAGGUAACAUCAAAUCGUACCCCAAACCGACACAGGUGGUCAGGUAGAGAAUACCAAGGCGCUUGAGAGAACUCGGGUGAAGGAACUAGGCAAAAUGGUGCCGUAACUUCGGGAGAAGGCACGCUGAUAUGUAGGUGAAGUCCCUCGCGGAUGGAGCUGAAAUCAGUCGAAGAUACCAGCUGGCUGCAACUGUUUAUUAAAAACACAGCACUGUGCAAACACGAAAGUGGACGUAUACGGUGUGACGCCUGCCCGGUGCCGGAAGGUUAAUUGAUGGGGUCAGCGCAAGCGAAGCUCUUGAUCGAAGCCCCGGUAAACGGCGGCCGUAACUAUAACGGUCCUAAGGUAGCGAAAUUCCUUGUCGGGUAAGUUCCGACCUGCACGAAUGGCGUAAUGAUGGCCAGGCUGUCUCCACCCGAGACUCAGUGAAAUUGAACUCGCUGUGAAGAUGCAGUGUACCCGCGGCAAGACGGAAAGACCCCGUGAACCUUUACUAUAGCUUGACACUGAACAUUGAGCCUUGAUGUGUAGGAUAGGUGGGAGGCUUUGAAGUGUGGACGCCAGUCUGCAUGGAGCCGACCUUGAAAUACCACCCUUUAAUGUUUGAUGUUCUAACGUUGACCCGUAAUCCGGGUUGCGGACAGUGUCUGGUGGGUAGUUUGACUGGGGCGGUCUCCUCCUAAAGAGUAACGGAGGAGCACGAAGGUUGGCUAAUCCUGGUCGGACAUCAGGAGGUUAGUGCAAUGGCAUAAGCCAGCUUGACUGCGAGCGUGACGGCGCGAGCAGGUGCGAAAGCAGGUCAUAGUGAUCCGGUGGUUCUGAAUGGAAGGGCCAUCGCUCAACGGAUAAAAGGUACUCCGGGGAUAACAGGCUGAUACCGCCCAAGAGUUCAUAUCGACGGCGGUGUUUGGCACCUCGAUGUCGGCUCAUCACAUCCUGGGGCUGAAGUAGGUCCCAAGGGUAUGGCUGUUCGCCAUUUAAAGUGGUACGCGAGCUGGGUUUAGAACGUCGUGAGACAGU